rnacentral:rRNA from 1 species
UACGAAGGGGGCAAGCGUUGUUCGGAUUUACUGGGCGUAAAGCGUACGUAGGCGGAUAAUUAAGUCAGGGGUGAAAUCCCGGGGCUCAACCUCGGAACUGCCUUUGAUACUGGUUGUCUUGAGUCCGGGAGAGGUGAGUGGGACUCCUAGUGUAGAGGUGAAAUUCGUAGAUAUUAGGAAGAACACCAGUGGCGAAGGCGGCUCACUGGCCCGGAACUGACGCUGAUGUACGAAAGCGUGGGGAGCAAACAGGAUUAGAAACCCUGGUAGU